AUGGCGGGCCUCGGGUUCGAGGAGACCGAGCUCCGGCUCGGCCUGCCAGGCGGCAGCAACGAGGCCGAGGAGGCGGCCGCCGCGGUGAGGAGCUCCGGCAAGAGGGGCUACGCCGAGACCAUCGACCUCGUGCUGAAGCUGGAGCCGGCGUCGGCGGCCGCGCCGCCGUCCGAGGACGGCGAGCAAGUGGCCGACGGCGUCGCGGAGGCGCAGCCGUCUCCGGCUGCUGCCGACGGGCAGUUGAAGCGGUCGCCGAGCCAGAGCAGCGUGGUCACCACCCCGCAGCCGGACGCGGACCCCGAGAAGCCGCGCGCGCCCAAGGCGCAGGCGGUGGGGUGGCCGCCGGUGCGGUCGUUCCGGAGGAACAUGCUGGCGGCGGCGGAGAGAGGGGGGGCGGCGCUGGUGAAGGUGAGCAUGGACGGCGCGCCCUACCUGCGCAAGGUGGACAUGGGCACCUACAAGAGCUACCAGGAGCUGUCCAAGGCCCUGGAGAAGAUGUUCAGCUCCUUCACCAUCGGCAACGACUGCUCUCAGGCUCAGGCUCAGGGGAUGACGGGCAUGAACGAGAGCAAGCUGGUGGACCUGCUCAGCGGCUCCGACUACGUGCCCACCUACGAGGACAAGGACGGCGACUGGAUGCUCGUCGGCGACGUCCCCUGGGAGAUGUUCGUGGCGUCGUGCAAGCGCCUCCGGAUAAUGAAGGGAUCAGAAGCCAUCGGCCUCGCGCCAAGGGCAAUGGAGAAAUGCAAGAGCAGGAGCUGA
rnacentral:rRNA from 1 species